rnacentral:rRNA from 1 species
GAUGAACGCUAGCGGCGGGCUUAAUACAUGCAAGUCAAGGGGUAGCAAUACACCGGCGUACGGGUGCGUAACGCGUAUGGAACCUGCCCUUAUCUGGGGGAUAACUCGGGGAAACUCGAGCUAAUACCGCAUAAGAUAGUAGAGAGGCAUCUCUUAGCUAUUAAAGAUUUAUCGGAUAAGGAUGGCCAUGCGUAAGAUUAGAUAGUUGGCGAGGUAACGGCUCACCAAGUCUACGAUCUUUAGGGGCUCUGAGAGGAGAAUCCCCCACAGUGGCACUGAAAUACGGGCCAGACUACGACGGGAGGCAGCAGUAGGAAAUAUUGGGCAAUGGGCGGAAGCCUGACCCAGCCACGCCGCGUGCAGGAAGACGGCCCUCUGGGUUGUAAACUGCUUUUAACUGGGAAGAAAGCAGCUCAUGCGUGAGAAUUUGACGGUACCAGUUGAAUAAGCCACGGCUAACUACGUGCCAGCCGCCGCUGUAAUAC